rnacentral:hammerhead_ribozyme from 1 species
UGACGAGUCCUAAAUAGGACGAAACACGCGUC